CCCCGAGUGCCGUUGGGGACCUCCAAACCGUGCGACCUUCUAGAGCAGACCGACUUCGAUC
rnacentral:rRNA from 1 species